CAGUAGCCGCGGGAAUACGUAGGGUGCGAGCGUUAAUCGGAAUUACUGGGCGUAAAGCGUGCGUAGGUGGUGGUUUAAGUCCGUUGUGAAAGCCCUGGGCUCAACCUGGGAAUUGCAGUGGAUACUGGGUCACUAGAGUGUGGUAGAGGAUAGUGGAAUUUCCGGUGUAGCAGUGAAAUGCGUAGAGAUAGGAAGGAACAUCAGUGGCGAAGGCGACCACCUGGACUGAUACUGACACUGAGGUGCGAAAGCGUGGGGAGCAAACAGGAUUAGAUACCCCUGUAGUCCCUGUCUCUUAUAA
rnacentral:rRNA from 1 species